CCUACGGGCGGCUGCAGUGAGGAAUAUUGGUCAAUGGACGAGAGUCUGAACCAGCCAAGUAGCGUGAAGGAUGACUGCCCUACGGGUUGUAAACUUCUUUUAUAAAGGAAUAAAACGAGGCACGUGUGCCUUUUUGCAUGUACUUUAUGAAUAAGGAUCGGCUAACUCCGUGCCAGCAGCCGCGGUAAUACGGAGGAUCCGAGCGUUAUCCGGAUUUAUUGGGUUUAAAGGGAGCGUAGAUGGGUUGUUAAGUCAGUUGUGAAAGUUUGCGGCUCAACCGUAAAAUUGCAAUUGAUACUGGCAGUCGUGAGUACAGUUGAGGUAGGCGGAAUUCGUGGUGUAGCGGUGAAAUGCUUAGAUAUCACGAAGAACCCCGAUUGCGAAGGCAGCUUACUAAACUGUGACUGACAUUGAUGCUCGAAAGUGUGGGUAUCAAACAGGAUUAGAUACCCGGGUAGUC
rnacentral:rRNA from 1 species